GUGCAGAAGAGGAGAGUGGAAUACCACGUGUAGCGGUGAAAUGCGAAGAUAUGUGGAGGAACACCAGAGGCGAAGGCGACUCACUGGUCUGUAACUGACGCUGAGGCGCGAAAGCGUGGGGAGCAAACAGGAUAAGAUACCCUGGAAGUCCACGCCGUAAUCGAAGAGUGCUAAGUGUUAGGGGGUAUCCGCCCCUUAGAGCUGCAGCUAACGCAAUAAGCACUCCGC
rnacentral:rRNA from 1 species